GACUUCUCAUAUGACUGAUUUCAGCCAGUGGUGAGAGGAGAUUUUCUUCUUGCUCCUGACAACAGCCCCUGAAUGAGUUGGGCGUAUCUGUUGUGAGCAGCAACAGGUUCCGAGCGACGGCAAAAAGGCACUAGCCAGCCUCCACCUCUGUGCCUUCCAGUUACUCUAUGAUCCCAGCUGGUCUUCACGCAUGAGGUUCUUUUCCGGUCUUUUCGCUGCUCUUCUGUGGAUCACCCUGGCUACUCCAGGCAAAGGCAUGACUCAUGACGCUGUCCGCUGCCGGAGCAAAGACGGGGUGUGCCGUUUUGACCGAUGCUAUUACAAUGAGAUCGAGAUUGCCACCUGCUAUCACCAGACAAUGAAAUGCUGCCGAGAGAGGGACUAGAAGGUCUUGAGGGUUCGCACCACUGGGACACAGACCUGAGACCUCUGACGGGCGAUGCUGCAAGAGACCCAACACAGAAGGGUGCUAAAUCACACCUCUGUAAUAAAUCACAUCACAUGCGUUGCUCCAAGGGCGUGUUCCUCUCCCCUUCCUUUCACUAUGAAGACCCCGGUGAAAGGCGGAAAUGCAAAUCAGUUUCAGGAGCCGUUUCCUGAUCACACCUUAGCCCAGCUGGAAGCCUUAUCUGCUCACAUGGCCCCUUAACCCAGUGUCUGAUGGCCACCGAAUU